rnacentral:rRNA from 2 species
GAUGAGUGGCGAACGGGUGAGUAACACGUGGGUAACCUGUCCUGUACUUUGGGAUAAGCCCUGGAAACGGGGUCUAAUACCGGAUACGCAUCAUUGCCUGCAUGGGUGGUGGUGGAAAGCUCCGGCGGUAUGGGGUGGGCCCGCGGCCUAUCAGCUUGUUGGUGGGGUGAUGGCCUACCAAGGCGACGACGGGUAGCCGGCCUGAGAGGGCGACCGGCCACACUGGGACUGAGACACGGCCCAGACUCCUACGGGAGGCAGCAGUGGGGAAUAUUGCACAAUGGGCGCAAGCCUGAUGCAGCGACGCCGCGUGAGGGAUGACGGCCUUCGGGUUGUAAACCUCUUUCGCCAGGGACGAAGCCUUUCGGGGUGACGGUACCUGGAGAAGAAGCACCGGCUAACUACGUGCCAGCAGCCGCGGUAAUACGUAGGGUGCGAGCGUUGUCCGGAAUUAUUGGGCGUAAAGAGCUCGUAGGCGGUUUGUCGCGUCGGCCGUGGAAACUGGAGGCUUAACCUUCAGCG